UACGUAGGGUGCAAGCGUUGUCCGGAAUUAUUGGGCGUAAAGAGCUCGUAGGCGGUUUGUCGCGUCUGCUGUGAAAACUCGGGGCUUAACCCCGGGCCUGCAGUGGGUACGGGCAGACUAGAGUGCGGUAGGGGAGACUGGAAUUCCUGGUGUAGCGGUGAAAUGCGCAGAUAUCAGGAGGAACACCGGUGGCGAAGGCGGGGUCUCUGGGCCGAUACUGACGCUGAGGAGCGAAAGCGUGGGGAGCAAACAGG
rnacentral:rRNA from 1 species